CUGUUGCCUUCUGCUUGCUUGUAGCCUGAUAAGGCCUUAGAGCUUGGAAUCAUAAACAGCCGCCAUGAAGCCUUCAUCACUUCCAAACUUUGGUGCAACAAUGAUCACCAUGACCUUGUCCUUCCAGCUCUCAAGACCACACUCAAGAAACUUGGGUUGGACUAUUUAGACCUUUACUUGAUUCAUAUGCCAGUGAGGUUGAAACCUGAAGUUGAUAGAGUUCUUGAAAUAGGAAAGGAUGAUUUGCUUCCCUUUGACAUAGAAGGAACAUGGGAAGCCAUGGAAGAGUGUCAAAGAUUAGGCUUAGCCAAAUUCAUUGGUGUAAGCAACUUUGGCAUAAAAAACUCACACAGCUCUUAGAAAAUGCAACUAUUCCUCCUGUUGUCAAUCAAGUAAGAAAAUUCAAUAGCAACACUUGCCAAAAGGGAUUAAAUUUAUCAAAUAAAUAUACAUAUUUUAAAUAAAAAAUUUUAUGGUGUCUAUAAAAUUUGUGUCUAAUUUGUUUAAAAGAUGAGGGGUAAAGGAGUAGAGCCCACCAUUUAUAUUUGAUUAUUUGUGUCAAAUAGUUAAAAAUUUAGACACAUUAGAACACACCAUUUUAAAUUGAAUAAUUUCUUUUUUUUUUCAUUUUGACAAUAAUGAUGUGGCUAUAUUCAAUUUUGACUUUAGGUGGAAAUGAGCUCAUCAUAGCAACAAGGGAAACUCAGAGAAUUUUGCAAGCAGAAAGGAAUCCAUUUGGCUGCAUGGUCACCGUUUUCUAGUAAAGUCACAGAUAUUGGCAUCCAUUUUCUUAAAGGGCUACAAAAUCUUGCUCUGUUAAAUUUGGAAGGCUACUUUGUAACAGCUGCAUGCUUGGAUACUCUUGCAGAGCUUCCAGCCCUCUCGAACUUGAAUAUCAGUAGAUGCAAUUUUACUAACAAUGGAUGUGAAAUGUUUUCAUGUAAGUUGUAGACUUGUCACUUG